GAUGAACGCUAGCUACAGGCUUAACACAUGCAAGUCGAGGGGCAGCAUGAACUUAGCUUGCUAAGUUUGAUGGCGACCGGCGCACGGGUGAGUAACACGUAUCCAACCUGCCCAUCACUUGGGGAUAACCUUGCGAAAGUAAGACUAAUACCCAAUGAUAUCUCUAGAAGACAUCUGAAAGAGAUUAAAGAUUUAUCGGUGAUGGAUGGGGAUGCGUCUGAUUAGCUUGUUGGCGGGGUAACGGCCCACCAAGGCGACGAUCAGUAGGGGUUCUGAGAGGAAGGUCCCCCACAUUGGAACUGAGACACGGUCCAAACUCCUACGGGAGGCAGCAGUGAGGAAUAUUGGUCAAUGGACGAGAGUCUGAACCAGCCAAGUAGCGUGCAGGAUGACGGCCCUAUGGGUUGUAAACUGCUUUUAUAAGGGAAUAAAGUGAGUCUCGUGAGGCUUUUGCAUGUACCUUAUGAAUAAGGACCGGCUAAUUCCGUGCCAG
rnacentral:rRNA from 1 species